rnacentral:tRNA from 1 species
GCGGGUAUAGCACAAUGGUAGCAGCCUUCCAAGCUGAAUAUGCGGGUUCGAUUCCCGCUACCCGCUCCA